rnacentral:rRNA from 1 species
UACGAAGGGGGCUAGCGUUGCCGUCGAAUCACUGGGCGUAAAGAGUGCGUAGGCGGUUUUCUAAGUUUGGUGUGAAAUCUCCCGGCUUAACUGGGAGGGUGCGCCGAAGACUGGAAGGCUUGAGUAUGGGAGAGGUAAGCGGAAUUCCUGGUGUAGCGGUGAAAUGCGUAGAUAUCAGGAGGAACACCUGCGGUGUAGACGGCUUACUGGACCAUAACUGACGCUGAGGCACGAAAGCGUGGGUAGCAAACAGG